AGAUCAUUUUAGAAAGGGCUUGUGGGACUGUGAAUCCAAGAGCUCUUAAUGCUAUGACCAAAGACUGAAGUUUUCUAUAGGAUGCCAUAGUCAAUCGACAGUGCUGUGUUUUCCUGAAGAGAUAUAAAU